GACGAACGCUGGCGGCGUGCUUAACACAUGCAAGUCGAACGGAAAGGCCCUGCUUGCCGGGUACUCGAGUGGCGAACGGGUGAGUAACACGUGGGUGAUCUGCCCUGCACUUCGGGAUAAGCCUGGGAAACUGGGUCUAAUACCGGAUAGGAGCCAUUUUUAGUGUGAUGGUUGGAAAGUUUUUUCGGUGUAGGAUGAGCUCGCGGCCUAUCAGCUUGUUGGUGGGGUAAUGGCCUACCAAGGCGGCGACGGGUAGCCGGCCUGAGAGGGUGGACGGCCACAUUGGGACUGAGAGACGGCCCAGACUCCUACGGGAGGCAGCAGGGGGGAAUAUUGCACAAUGGGCGCAAGCCUGAUGCAGCGACGCCGCGUGGGGGAUGACGGCCUUCGGGUUGUAAACUCCUUUCGCUAGGGACGAAGCUUUUUGUGACGGUACCUAGAUAAGAAGCACCGGCUAACUACGUG
rnacentral:rRNA from 1 species